CACUGACAACAACUAAACCGAACAAAAAGCUAGUCACGGGCAAUGACAACUACCAAGAUCUCACACCGAAGUAGUUGGCUUUAUUUUGCCCCCAUGUCGGUUUCGAACGAGGGCUUUAGCGACGGCACCGCAAGUGGGGCUUUGCUUUCAGUCCAGCCUGCUCGUGCGGCUCGCGGUGGAGGCAGCUCCACCACCCCAGGGUGGGCUGCUGGCUGGAUUAGGGUGGCUUGCAGGGAGCCUCCGGUUUUGUCAUUUGUUUGUUUUCUUAAUUUGUUUAUGAGAAAGAUAGGAGGAGAGAGAAAGAACCAGACAUCACUCUGGCACAUGUGCUGCCGGGAAUCGAACUCUAGACCUCAUGCUUGAGAGUCCAAAGCUUUACCACUGCGCCACCUCCCGGACCACGAGCCUCUGGUUUUACAGGCUUUCCUCUUCACUUUAGCUCCUCGCGCCUUCAUUUUUCUUUUUCUUUCUUUCUUUCUUUAUGCUUAAAGUUUUAUGAAUAUCACUUCAGUACUUAACAGUAAGCUCAUUUCCAUCACUGAAUGCAUAGUACCUUACAAUGUGUUUAAACUCUAGGCGUUGAAUAAGUAAAUGAAUAUUGAACAGAUUAACCGGCUAUGCCUAGAAGUUGGAUUGAUACAUGGUUUCUCACCGAGACCUAGAUGAGAUAGCCACUAUUGUCACUGUUACUUAACAUUUUAAGGAUUUAGUAAAAGCGGUGGACUGUGCCCACCCCCGCAAAAAAAGUUCAUCUACCCAUUUGAUAUUAGGUGAUUCUAAUAGGGGCUGUCCUGUAAAUAGUAAGGUGUUUAAUAACAUCCUUCUCCUCCACCAUUUAAGGUUAUUGAGCACCAUUUAUUGAGGUUAGCUAGCAUCAUUUGUGACAACUGCAAAUAUCUCCAGACAUUACCAACUAUGCUUUGGAAGUCAAAAUCUCCCCUGGUUGAAAAUCAAUACCUUAAGGAUAUGCUGCAGUGGUGACUUUAUAUGCUUAUUGCUGGGACUCAGAUGAAUCCACUGCUCCUGGAGGCUAUUUUUUACCCCUUUGUUGCCCUGGUUGUUUAUCAUUGUUGCGGUUAUUAAAAUUGUUACCUUAAGAUGCCUCCCUCACUAAUUCUAUGCACUUGACUAAAGCAAGGGAGUAAACAGAGAAAUCAGAGACUGCAGAAUCCAGGAAACAGAAGAUUCAUGCCAAGAAGGAAUGAAGGACAUUUCAAUUUCAAGAAGAGAAUAAAGAUAUCAAGAAGGCAACCUGCAAAUGUGUGAAAACCAGCCAGUAUCAUUUUAUGUGGGAGAAAUUACAAGUUAAUAACAUUCAUAGACUACCUCAUAAAUAUGAACUCAGUGAGAAAUGUCUUAAGUUGGGUUGAAUUCAUAAGAACACUGGGAUGAAAAGAGAAGACAAGACAAGAAAGAAUUUAGUUACACUCUGC